rnacentral:snoRNA from 1 species
AGACCGUGAUGGGGACACUUUCUCAGUAGCUCCUUGAACCUUUCCCAAGUUUCAUAUAAGGAUUCCCCAUCCUCUUGUGAAUAUGUAUGGUCAUUAAUUUAGUCGUUU